GAGGGGCAGUCACAAUGGUACUGCUGAACAGGCUCCUGGGAGGACUAAAUUCAUUCCACCGGAGACAGAAGUGUGGCCCGGAGACUCAGGGAUGCACGUUUGGUCUGCAGUGAGCAGGCGACAGAGCAGGGCCCGUGAUGCGCCACAUGCUUCCCGCAAGCAUUUGAUUCCCUGGAGCCCCCACCCCAGAGCCCAGCACAGGCCCUGCAGGCAUCAUCUGACUUCCCUGCUAAUCCCUCCCCUGUGGACUUGCCCUGAGAUUUCCAAGCUGCCAGGCGUGCGGGCUCCUGGCCACCAGAGAUUGCAGUCGACACUGAGGCUGUCAGCGUCCACGCGCCAACGCUGUGGCAGGUGCUGACAUCCUCGCUUCUAUGUUGAGAGCAUUUCAUGGAGCCUCGCUUGCACUCUGGGAACAACUUGAGAAGACCCAGUGCUUGUCCUCAGGGAGCUCCUUUUCCAGGAAGCACAGUGAAUACACAGAAGUCCCCAGAGAACAUCCUUGAUGAGUACAGGGUCCAUGUGAGACUCAGUGGUUUGGCCAGGACCGUUCACAUAACUGAGCUCUUGGCACUUCCUGAUCCCAGCAGCCCCUGGAGGGGACGUGUCUCGCUGAUGCGGUGUAUCAAGCCCCCUCUGCAGCUUGGCCUGGCUGAGUGACACCGAGCCAAGGGUGCGGUGUCAUCUCCAGACUUCGAACCCCAGCCUGCUCAGCCCCAUUCCACACCAGCGACCUGCCCAGAGGAGGGCCCUGGCCUGAUGUCCUCUGAUACACUUCGGGAUAACCACCUGCUUGGCAUGCAUUUCCGCUGCUUAAAGCCAAGCCUGAGACGGCGGCCCUCCCCAGCAGAGCUGAGCUCCCCAAAGAUAAGAUGAAUGUCUGCAGGCUGCAGAGCUGAGAUGUUCUGGAGGAAGUGGAAGAGGAGGAAGAAGGAAUAAACACCCGUCACAUUAAUAAGAGUUUGGAAGAAGCAAGGGGCUGAAGCCAGGAGUCUCCAGAUGGUGUUUAGUGAAAUGACAGUUUGAUGCUUAAGAGGAAAAAUGGAACCAUGCCUCAUCCAGACUGGGAAGGCUUCCUGGAGAAGGUGAUGUCUAGGUUGAACUGGGAACGCUGACCAAGGAUUUGCCUGGCAAAGAGCCUGGGAUACAGGAGAAGACCAGGCAAAGGUAAGCAACAGAACAGAUCAUGGAGUGUGAAGCCGCAAGGGAGAGGGGGGUACCUCAGGAGUGUCGGAGGGGUCCUGGAUCCCAGUGGCAAGCGGAAUGGUAAUAGAAAGGAGCUGGGCAAGGCUAAGAGUCCGAGAAGGCUGGAUAAGGGCCUGGAUGUCACCUGGCAGUGGUGAAGAGUCAGAGAGGGUUGCUCACCCGGAGUGUGGAUGCAUGAAUCCGCCCCCCCAUUCCCUUGUCCACAUCUGGUAUCAUCGGGGGUGGUCAGAAAGCUUCUCCAGGGCUUGCCUGCUGUGGUGCCUGAAAUUCUGCCCUCAGAGCCCUCUUCAUGUGGGUUCAGCAGAGCACGCACUUAGCAUCCACCUUUGAUAGUUACAGACACCUUCUCUGCGCUCCCCUGGGGGGCAGGAGAAGCGGCCAGACCCUGGUGGUGGUGAGGGGCCAUCUCACCCGACCAGGAAUAGCUCUACUGGGGGGACUUUGGGCAGAGCCAGGUGGGCAGCAGCUCUGCUUGUUAGCACCGGGGAGCCACGGCUCUGGGAUCAUCGGUCUGGCAGCGUCCUGGCCACUGCGGCCAGGCUGGAGCCGGGGGCCCUGGUGGGCAGGCAGGGAAGGGGCGGGGGAGACCAGGGAGAGGGCGAGGCAAGGAGAGUCAAGGAGGAGUUCCAGGCUUCUGAAUCCAUUCUGUUUCGAUUUCCCCCAAGUCACACAGCUGCCAGGGUUCAGACAGAUGCUGUGAUUAGCAUUUUAAUGCAUUUCAGAGGACCUUGUCCAAACUGCUCUGAAAAUCAGAAAUCAAGAGUUUAUCUUCAGCUGUCCCUGUAGAGCUGCAUUCCCUUCCAGCGCCAAGAGAGCCCGAGGAAGAGCGUGCGUGCACACGUACAUCUGUGUGCCCAUGCAUGGCUGCGUGCACGGACACCUGUGUGUGCACGUUUCCCCGUGUGGGUUUCCAUGUGCGCCUUCCUCUGGUGUGUGUACAUAGCUUUGUGCACACACAUGCCGUGAACCCUGGCGUGUGUGCGUGUCUGAGUGUGAAGUGUGGGCGUGUAUCUGCAUCUGCGGGCACAUGUACGUUCUGCACACGUGUGCUUGUUCUACACGUGCCUUUGCAAGUGCGACUCCAUCGGGGAUCAUUCACGUGGAAGAGGCAGAGCUGGAUGCUGGCUGAAAACAGGUCAGCGCUGAGUGACUCGGGCUGUCAGGGCGUCUGGGCCUCAGGUAAUGGGAAAUGCAUUUCCAAUGCGGCUGCGGCUGCCUGGCCGGAUCCCAAAGCCGUGUUUUCAAACAAUACAGGCAAGCGGCAUUUUUAAGCAAUGUGGAGCUCCUGCAGUUUGAAUCCCGCUCCCUUGGACGGGGCUAGUAUCCCGGGCCCAGCAUGGAGAGGUUUCUGGAGCCCCAGACGGGGAAUGGGGCAGCUGCAACUGGGUCAGCGGAGCGUGGGACUGGGAAGCCAGGAGCCCCUCAUGACGCAUCCUGUGUGGGGUGGCUCCCGUCAGCCUCUCUUCCUGCUUCCCAAGGUUCUCCUCCUGCCACCCCAAUCUGGCUACACUUCGCAUCUGCCAAGGCUGCCCUGCAUCCGGCUGGGUGUCGCCGGCCUUUCAACUAGCUUCAGGUGGAAGGCACUCUUUCUCCUUUCCUUGUCAUCCUCCCUGGAUACACUACCCACCCCCAAACCCCAGGGGAUGUGUAUCUCUCAGCCCCAAACACAGCUUUCUAGGACCAUCUUCCCAGCCAAGGGGAAGGCACCUGUUUGCCUCCCAAGCCUGCAUCAGCUUUUAGGGACCUAGGUGGCACCCCUGGCUCCUUUGUUUGGAGUCAACUGAAACUUCAGAUCUUUGAUCCCUGCCAGGUCAGCUUCCCUCUGCUCAGUGUCACCAGGCAGGGGUAUCCACCUUUAGUCUUGGGGGCCCCUCAGGGUUGCCCUGGACUCAACCUGGAUAGUGCAGACAAGUAAAUGGGAGUUGGGGGAUGCAUUCGAUGGAAGGGGGGCAAGGAAGCAGCAGACAGUUCCUUGUGAAUUUGUUUAAUGUAAAUACAUCCUCUAUUUAUCUUUAGCUGUUAAUAAAUUCAUGCAUUAUUAGAAAAUCCCUCAUACCAGCAGACCCGCUGCGUUAGAUCAGCUCGUUUUGAGAGAUUUCCUGUUGGCAGGAUUCAAAGCCCGCACCUGCAGCCGGCCCAGGCACAAGGAUUUAACUGAACGCCACAGAUAAUUAGAUCAGUUAACCUCACAAAUUAAAACAAGCACAUCGUAUUAGCUCAGUUUAUCCUAAAAGAAAAUAUUAAGUUCCCCCAGAUAAAUCGUUUAAUAAGAAUAGAGGAAGAUGGCACAUACUGUCUUCCCGGACCUGUGGGCAGGAGGCAGGGAGGGCUCACGUGGCCGCCAGAGAGUCAGUUUGCCUCCAUGGAGUGAUGGGUGACAGACUGGGCUCUUGCCCCCCGAUCUAGCAGUGGCUGGAAGUGUCUGAAGAAGCCUCAGGCAGGGUGCUAGCUGAAGCACACAGGACAACACAAAGCUCCAUGAGUUCUGAAAGGCACGAGGGGCGUCAGUGGGAGCUGCCCUACUGUGCCACCUCGUAAUGCAGCACAAUCCCCAGGGGAACCCUGGGGGUAAUUUAGGGAAUGUGGGUUCACUCCAUCCAGAGAGGCCUCCAGGAGGGGCUACGACCCAGCUGCAAGUUCCUUCCACCCGCAAGGUGUUUACCACUUGAGUUGGUCUCAGUCUUUGAAAAUUUUGAACUCUCUACAUCAGAUAAGGGAAAGAACUCAGUCUUUGCAAAAUCUAUGGUGCAAAAAAUUUUGAUCAGCAAAUAAAUAGUGCAGUCAACACCAUUGUCUGCAGGAAUAUGUCAUCUACCUAGGAGAACGGCAGCGUUUGCAAGUGGCUUCCUGGUACUCCCUGUCACACCAUCACUGUGCAAAUUACACAUGCUUUGUAUCUGUUCAUUAAAGCAGGCUUGGCAGGACA